rnacentral:rRNA from 1 species
GUGCCAGCCGCCGCGGUAAUACGUAGGGUGCGAGCGUUGUCCGGAAUUACUGGGCGUAAAGAGCUCGUAGGUGGUUUGUCGCGUUGUUCGUGAAAUCUCACGGCUUAACUGUGAGCGUGCGGGCGAUACGGGCAGACUAGAGUACUGCAGGGGACACUGGAAUUCCUGGUGUAGCGGUGGAAUGCGCAGAUAUCAGGAGGAACACCGGUGGCGAAGGCGGGUCUCUGGGCAGUWACUGACGCUGAGGAGCGAAAGCGUGGGGAGCGAACAGGAUUAGAUACCCUGGUAGUCCACGCCGUAAACGGUGGGUACUAGGUGUGGGUUUCCUUCCUUGGGAUCCGUGCCGUAGCUAACGCAUUAAGUACCCCGCCUGGGGAGUACGGCCGCAAGGCUAAAACUCAAAGGAAUUGACGG